CCCUUAAAUAGGGACUAGUAUCAACGGCACCACGAGGGUUACACUGUCUCCACUUUCCAAUCAGUGAAACUGAUCUCCCCGUGAAGAAGCGGGGAUAAACCUAUAAGACGAGAAGACCCCAUGGAGCUUUAAAUCUCAUAGCAACUCUGUCACACAUCUCCUCAUAAUUAAAAGAGCCCUGCACACCGACUUUAGGUUGGGGCGACCGCGGAGAAAAACCACCCUCCACGACGAAAAGAACUUAAGCCUUUAUCUAAGAGCAACCUCUCUAAGAAUUAGCAUACUAACGUUUAAUGACCCGAUAAUCGAUCAACGAACCAAGUUACCCUGGGGAUAACAGCGCAAUCUACUUCAAAAGCCCAUAUCGACAAGUAGGCUUACGACCUCGAUGUUGGAUCAGGGUAUCCUAGUGGUGCAGCCGCUACUAAUGGUUC
rnacentral:rRNA from 1 species